rnacentral:rRNA from 1 species
CGCUGACGAGCGGCGGACGGGUGAGUAAUGUAUGGGGAUCUGCCCGAUAGAGGGGGAUAACCACUGGAAACGGUGGCUAAUACCGCAUAAUCUCUUAGGAGCAAAGCAGGGGAACUUCGGUCCUUGCGCUAUCGGAUGAACCCAUAUGGGAUUAGCUAGUAGGUGGGGUAAUGGCUCACCUAGGCGACGAUCCCUAGCUGGUCUGAGAGGAUGAUCAGCCACACUGGGACUGAGACACGGCCCAGACUCCUACGGGAGGCAGCAGUGGGGAAUAUUGCACAAUGGGCGCAAGCCUGAUGCAGCCAUGCCGCGUGUAUGAAGAAGGCC